rnacentral:rRNA from 1 species
UGGUCCUACGGGGCGCAGCAGUGAGGAAUAUUGGUCAAUGGGCGGAAGCCUGAACCAGCCAAGUCGCGUGAGGGAAGAAGGCCCUGCGGGUCGCAGACCUCUUUGGACGGGGAGCAAGGCCGCCGACGUGUCGGCGGAAGGAGAGUACCCGUAGAACAAGCAUCGGCUAACUCCGUGCCAGCAGCCGCGGUAAUACGGGGGAUGCGAGCGUUAUCCGGAUUUAUUGGGUUUAAAGGGUGCGUAGGCGGAUCGUUAAGUCAGUGGUCAAAUUGAGGGGCUCAACCCCUUCCCGCCAUUGAAACUGG